GUGGGGAAUAUUGGACAAUGGGCGAAAGCCUGAUCCAGCCAUGCCGCGUGUGUGAAGAAGGUCUUCGGAUUGUAAAGCACUUUAAGUUGGGAGGAAGGGCAGUAACCUAAUACGUUAUUGUUUUGACGUUACCGACAGAAUAAGCACCGGCUAACUUCGUGCCAGCAGCCGCGGUAAUACGAAGGGUGCAAGCGUUAAUCGGAAUUACUGGGCGUAAAGCGCGCGUAGGUGGUUCAGUAAGUUGGAAGUGAAAUCCCCGGGCUCAACCUGGGAACUGCUUUCAAAACUGCUGAGCUAGAGUACGGUAGAGGGUGGGUGAAUUUCCUGUGGAGCGGUGAAAUGCGUAGAUAUAGGAAGGAACACCAGUGGCGAAGGCGACCACCUGGACUGAUACUGACACUGAGGUGCGAAAGCGUGGGGAGCAAACAGGAUUAGAUACCCUUGUAGUCC
rnacentral:rRNA from 1 species